rnacentral:lncRNA from 1 species
GGAGACUUACCUUGGCCCUCGAGAGUUGUUAGGAGGGGUUUAAGAACCCAGAUUUGGCACCCCUCCGGCCUCCGAUUACACGGAGUCGCGAUGGAGGGGAAUAAGGCGGUGGCGCGAGGAAGCUUGGGUAUUAAACCCUAGCAGAGCGCCAAAAAUGUUUCUUUUCUAAGUUUUUUCUUUUCUUUUAACUGGUAAAUGAUUUUUGAAAGGAAAUUUGUUUUAAAUAUCAAUCAAAACGGCGC